CCCUACUUUCAAGCUGUAGAUGGACUGAUAUGCCUCUGUGCUCAUGAAACUCCAAGAGAAAACACAAAAGUCAUUUAAAAUAUCUCGUACAACCUCUGACCAUCUUCUCGUGUCAUUCACCCAUCACGUUAUAGUUGAGUACAUAAAUGCAGUCAACCACACAGUAUUUCUGGUGGAUCCUGCAAAAAGUUCCUCAGAGGAAGCUGAUUCCAACCUUGCAGCAAAAAGUUUCAGUGAGUACCUAAAAAUGAGAAGAACGUGCCAUGGGUAAAUGGAGUGGGUGGACAUACAGUGGAAAGGAGGAGUUCUGACCCAUCCAGUCCCGUGGGGUGGCAGUAGCUGUGGGGUAAUUGUCAUCAUGGGCAGUGAUGAAGGCCUUUCCAGCUCUUCCACUCAUCAGGUUUGGGACGUCCAAAAAUGAAAUAGCACAUGCAAGAACAACAGUGGCUCUCCAGAUUCUGAAAGCAUCAGGUUUGUAAAGGAAGUUUUUGUCUGUACUGUGGAGGAAUACUAACCAACUUUGUCAGGACUCAAGUCAGGACUCAAACACACAAGUCAGCAGACAAGUAUAAGGUAAAGAAGUUGUAGAAGAAAUCUUUUAAGGAAACUUCUCUCUUCUUAAUUGAAGAAAAUAAUCUUUAAGCAUCAGAGGAAGACAGAUGGUUAUGGUGAGCAUUUCACUGCGCAGCGGAGAGAGAUUUCACAGCAGUUAUGAAAUGUCUUCUGAAGGGUUAGCAUUUAGAGCAAGGUUGUAUACUAAUAAAUAAAGGCUAGCCCAAAACAAUGGGUUGUGUGCUGGGCUAAUCAAGAUGUUUGAGUGAUAGUAAAGGUAAAUAGAACUCUGGAAAUCCUGGACAGUAAUUAACAAUACAAUUUAGUUCAAACUGCCAGUGGCCCAUUUGGCUAAUCCCUUUGACACGCUGGUCAGUGUAAUAUCUCUGUCUGCAUUAGGGGGUGUCUGGUAAAUUUAAUUCACAUGUAAAUUCAAGACAGCUUCUCAAAUGCUAUCUUCCUGGAUGAGUAGCUCAUCUGUUAAUCAAUGUAAAAUAGUGUGUCUCAGCACAGUGUAAUGUCUUACAGAAAUUCAGGAAAUUAAUCAGGAAACGGAAAAGACAAUGUUAGGAUAAAAAAAGAGUUUAAACUAUUAGGUAAUAAAAACAAAUUACACAGUCUUUACUAAUCCAAUAUUCCAAAAGCCAGUACACAGUCUAGGUGAAAGCCAGAGAAAUCAAACAAUACAGGCAAAUGUACGAAAAACAGGAGCCAAAAAUAUAAAAAUGCACAGAGCAGGCAAGGAUCACAAAUCAUUGGUAAUACAUGUCCAAAAAGGCUGGAAUAACACCCAGGUUAACAACUCUGGGAAAUUUUAACAACAGACAGUUGUAUAUACUAAGUGAUCUAUGAGGUAAGUGUGGCAGGUGAGCAGGUGAAUGGGGAAGGCUGAUGGAUGAUUAGCUGGGGAGCAGUGCAGAGAGGCAGAGGUGAGGCGGAGCAGGACAGUAGAGUGGGAAUUGAUAAACCAGAUGAUUGUUCUGAGGCAUGAAGGGCUGGAGGUAUGAGAUCUGCAACAAGAUACAAAGAGCAACCACACAGAAAUGGAGAGAGAGAGAGAUGAAGGGGAUCUCAACGAUGAAGAGGAUGUUAACAGACUCUGUUUGGAAUCUUGGCACAGCUUACCAACACUGUUAUUGUAACAGAAUGUAAUGCAUUUUUUUAAGGGCUGAUUUAAAUCUUUACCACAACAACUUGAAAUGUUGCAUUUAGUAAUUAUCUGAAUAUAUAGAAAUUUGUUGUUCAAUAAGAAUUAACAGAAAUGAAUGCAGUCUUUGCAGUACCUACUUAAAGUAUUGGAAGCUAGCUGUUUAUGGCGUCAUUUUUAUACCACCAGAACUUGAGUUUGAAAAAGCCUCCGAAUUCAUGAUCUUGGAAAAAGACUGGGUGUAAUUUGAUGUUAUCAAAAAAUGUUGCUGUUAAUUUUCAAUAUUUGAAAAUAUUUUGUGUGAAUUCACCUAAAAAAAAAAUCAGGUUGUGAAAUUCAAGUUUUUAUUAUUCAAGUUGUGGAUUUCAGGUGGUGAAAUUCAGGUCUCAAUAUCCAGGUUGUUGAAUACAAGUUGAGAAAUUCAGGUGGCAAAAUUCGAGGAUGAAAUCUGGGAAUGCAAGGAAGAGCAAACGAACGUUGAUGUAAUCCAUCUCUCUCUUGGACAAUCGCAAAGCGACGGAAACAGCUCAAAGUCAUUUUAAAUGAACUAAUUAAUAUAUACAGUAUAUUAUACAUACAGUAUAUAGUAGUAAAUAUAUAUAGCCUACAUUUUUAAUAAUGUGCAAAAUGUCUUUCCUUUGCUCCUUGGCAAUUCACAUUGAACGAAUCUGCUGAAAAUGCAAUUAAAAUUAUUCACGUGCACGCAUACAUGACCAGAUAACAUGAUCCCCAGUUGAUCCAUAACACCAGCCAAUCUCAGCGGUACAUCACAGUAAACAUCUCUCAUUCAGAAUUGUCAAAUGUUUUUGUGUUGUUUUGUGGUCUGAUUAAAAUACAAGACGUCUGUGAUGAUCAUGUCUGUAUGAAUGUAAGAGCUGCUUUUAACUCUUGAAGAACACACAAAAAGUGAAAGCAACCUAGGCAGUGUUUAUGACUAAUGUUUACUUUGUAGUCUGGCGGUGUGAAUAAAUUCUGUACUUCAUAAUCUUAGGUGUUGGCAGUGGCGUAUCCAGGACAUUUUUACUGGGGUGGCCAAGAUGGGGCACAGACCUAGUGUGGGGUGGUGAUACCGGGAGAACCUUUAUGAAUGGCACAUGAUCAAAAUGUGUAAAUAUCACAUUGCUUUGCUUCAACAUCUACACAUGUAGAAUAAAUGAAUUCUUAAACUCAUGUUAGCAUUCACUGAAUUGUUUGUAUUCAAUAUCAGACUGUUGUUUUGACAUUUGACAGUUUUCUAUUCCUGUUCUAUUUCAACCUAUUACAGUUUCUGGGAAUCUAUUAUUAACAUAACAUCCAUUUUUAAAUCAGUAAUUGUUUAGGAAAAGUCAGUUACACAUUUUUAAGAGCUAUUCUCAUUGUAGAGAAUUAAUCUGUGUAUAACAUCAGGUAUAGUGUAUAAUCAUAAAAAGAUACAAGUACAGGUGAUAACUGAUUGAGGCGCAAUUCAAUCA